GACAGAGGUGCCGAGCGUUAGGCGGAAUCACUGGGCUUAAAGCGUGUGUAGGCGGGCCGUUAAGUACCUUGUGAAAUCCCCCGGCUCAACCGGGGAACGGCUGGGUAUACUGGCGGCCUUGAGCGGCCUAGGGGCAGAUGGAACAGACGGUGGAGCGGUGAAAUGUGUUGAGAUCGGAAGGAACGCCGGUGGCGAAAGCGGGCUGCUGGACCCCCCCUGACGCUGAGGCGCGAAAGCUAGGGGAGCAAACGGG
rnacentral:rRNA from 1 species